GAUGAACGCUGGCGGCGUGCCUAAUACAUGCAAGUCGAGCGAACAGACGAGGAGCUUGCUCCUCUGACGUUAGCGGCGGACGGGUGAGUAACACGUGGAUAACCUACCUAUAAGACUGGGAUAACUUCGGGAAACCGGAGCUAAUACCGGAUAAUAUAUUGAACCGCAUGGUUCAAUAGUGAAAGACGGUUUUGCUGUCACGUAUAGAUGGAUCCGCGCCGCAUUAGCUAGUUGGUAAGGUAACGGCUUACCAAGGCGACGAUGCGUAGCCGACCUGAGAGGGUGAUCGACCAGACUGGAACUGAGACACGGUCCAGACUCCGACGGGAGGCAGCAGUAGGGAAUCUUCCGCAAUGGGCGAAAGCCUGACGGAGCAACGCCGCGUGAGUGAUGAAGGUCUUCGGAUCGUAAAACUCUGUUAUUAGGGAAGAACAAAUGUGUAAGUAACUAUGCACGUCUUGACGGUACCUAAUCAGAAAGCCACGGCUAACUACGUG
rnacentral:rRNA from 1 species